rnacentral:rRNA from 1 species
UACGUAGGGUGCGAGCGUUGUCCGGAAUUACUGGGCGUAAAGAGCUUGUAGGCGGUUUCGUCGCGUCGAUCCGUGAAAACGUGCAGCUCAACUGCACGCUUGCGGUCGAGUACGGGCGGACUAGAGUACUGCAGGGGAGACUGGAAUUCCUGGUGUAGCGGUGAAAUGCGCCAGAUAUCAGGAGGAACACCGGUGGCGAAGGCGGGUCUCUGGGCAGUGAACUGACGCUGGAGAAGCGAAAGCGUGGGUAGCGAACAGG